rnacentral:rRNA from 14 species
AUGGGUUAGUCGAUCCUAAGAGAUAGGAGAAAUCCGUUUCAAAGUGGGCGUUCUUCGGUUCGCCCCGCCUAUCGAAAGGGAAUUGGGUUAAUAUUCCCAAACCAGGACGUGGAUAUUGAGUGGUAACACAACCAAAGCCGGGUACGAUGGCGGGAGCCCUGGGGAGAGUUCUCUCUUCUUGUUAACAAGCACACUGACCCUGGAAUCGGAUUGACCGGAGAUAGGGUU